ensembl:lncRNA
GGGAGGGCGGAGCGCGGGCCGCGCCACAGCGGCGGGUGGUGUGGGACGUGGUGGUGGGUUGCUGUCCCUGCGGUCGUAUCGAGGAGCUCAGUUAGGCUCCGUGAGGGGUUGCGGUGUUACUGAGGACUGCGAGAGGCCGUGAGCCCUCUCAGCUCUGCCCCUUGUGAGGAGAAGGGCCGCCCCAGCCCCGAAUGAAGAAGCACUCUUCGCAGUCUCCUCCCUGAUCUGUGUCCCUGUGUGCCAGAAGCAUCGCUCAGUGAGACUUAAACAAGAAAUACCUUGUGCUACACUGCCACCUGUGCACCCUUGUUUGACUGAUGCUUGAUCCUGUCUGCUGGGAAGGCUGGCUGAAUGGAGGCAGACCCAUCUCCUCUUUCUCUCCUCUGGAACGUGCUUUCAGUCUGCUGCUGCAGUGCAGAUUUGCAGCUGGGUUCUGCUCAGGGUGUGUGGCUGCUCGGCCUCACUGCUGCUUUCCUGCACUGGAUGCGUGCACCUCCAGGAGUGUUGGUUCUUCUGCAUCUCAGGGAAGGAGACUCAUCCUCAUCUGCGCCCUUUUCAGCUGUGAAGGAAGUGUUGGUGCAGGGUCUCCAGGAGGGCCAUAGGUCCUAUGGGCCAACCUGGGCUCAUCCACGCAGAGCUCCUCCUGGCGCAGUGUGUCUGCCAUAUCCCAGGUGCUGAGUUUGCAGCAGAGGUGAAUGCAUCCUCAAAGGGAGGGAGAACCAAGAGGAGAAGUGAUGCUGCGCCGCCACUCAAUAGAGGUUUUUGGGUGAACGAUGCUUGCCAUUCCGUUCAGCUGCUGGUAAUAGACCAGUGCCUGUGCAGUGCUGCAGAAAACACUCUAAGAAAUGCAAUGGAAAUCUUGCGUGGAGGAACAGAC